rnacentral:rRNA from 1 species
UACGUAGGGAGCAAGCGUUGUCCGGAAUCAUUGGGCGUAAAGCGCGCGUAGGCGGCCCGAUAAGUCCGCUGUAAAAGUCAGCGGCUCAACUGUUGAAAGCCGGUGGAUACUGUCGGGCUAGAGUACGGAAGAGGCAAGCGGAAUUCCUGGUGUAGCGGUGAAAUGCGUAGAUAUCAGGAGGAACACCGGCGGUGUAGACGGCUUUCUGGACCGUAGCUGACGCUGAGACACGAAAGCGUGGGUAGCAAACAGG